GCAGUCGAACGGCAGCAUGAUCUAGCUUGCUAGAUUGAUGGCGAGUGGCGAACGGGUGAGUAAUACAUCGGAACGUGCCCUGUAGUGGGGGAUAACUAGUCGAAAGAUUAGCUAAUACCGCAUACGACCUGAGGGUGAAAGUGGGGGACCGCAAGGCCUCAUGCUAUAGGAGCGGCCGAUGUCUGAUUAGCUAGUUGGUGAGGUAAAGGCUCACCAAGGCGACGAUCAGUAGCUGGUCUGAGAGGACGAUCAGCCACACUGGGACUGAGACACGGCCCAGACUCCUACGGGAGGCAGCAGUGGGGAAUUUUGGACAAUGGGGGCAACCCUGAUCCAGCAAUGCCGCGUGUGUGANNAAGGCCUUCGGGUUGUAAAGCACUUUUGUCCGGAAAGAAAUCGCACUUACUAAUAUUAGGUGUGGAUGACGGUACCGGAAGAAUAAGGACCGGCUAACUACGUGCCAGCAGCCGCGGUAAUACGUAGGGUCCAAGCGUUAAUCGGAAUUACUGGGCGUAAAGCGUGCGCAGGCGGUUGUGCAAGACCGAUGUGAAAUCCCCGGGCUUAACCUGGGAAUUGCAUUGGUGACUGCACGGCUAGAGUGUGUCAGAGGGGGGUAGAAUUCCACGUGUAGCAGUGAAAUGCGUAGAGAUGUGGAGGAAUACCGAUGGCGAAGGCAGCCCCCUGGGAUAACACUGACGCUCAUGCACGAAAGCGUGGGGAGCAAACAGGAUUAGAUACCCUGGUAGUCCACGCCCUAAACGAUGUCAACUAGUUGUUGGGGAUUCAUUUCCUUAGUAACGUAGCUAACGCGUGAAGUUGACCGCCUGGGGAGUACGGUCGCAAGAUUAAAACUCAAAGGAAUUGACGGGGACCCGCACAAGCGGUGGAUGAUGUGGAUUAAUUCGAUGCAACGCGAAAAACCUUACCUACCCUUGACAUGCCACUAACGAAGCAGAGAUGCAUUAGGUGCUCGAAAGAGAAAGUGGACACAGGUGCUGCAUGGCUGUCGUCAGCUCGUGUCGUGAGAUGUUGGGUUAAGUCCCGCAACGAGCGCAACCCUUGUCUCUAGUUGCUACGAAAGGGCACUCUAGAGAGACUGCCGGUGACAAACCGGAGGAAGGUGGGGAUGACGUCAAGUCCUCAUGGCCCUUAUGGGUAGGGCUUCACACGUCAUACAAUGGUGCAUACAGAGGGUUGCCAAGCCGCGAGGUGGAGCUAAUCCCAGAAAAUGCAUCGUAGUCCGGAUCGUAGUCUGCAACUCGACUACGGAAGCUGGAAUCGCUAGUAAUCGCGGAUCA
rnacentral:rRNA from 1 species